rnacentral:ncRNA from 1 species
UCGGUUCCGGUUCACGCCGUAACUCCCCGAGACGGGGAGGGCGACCCGGAGCC